AUAAAAACAAAAUAUAAGUUUUUCCCUUUUUAAUAAUUCCUUAGGAUCAGGUCAAAACUAUCCAGGUGAUACACUCUGCAGUGUGUUGGAACAAUUAUUUAAAUGCAUACACAAAUGGACUUCAAUACAAGAAUUAUCGUGACUUUUCUUUGGAGAUCACUUUUACUAGUUAAAUAUUAGCGUCUUUUAGAUCCCAGUUAAACAACAAACUACAAAACAUGUCACAUCCAGCUAUGAAAAUACAAAGAUCAAAAUUGAAACAGCUGUUACUAAAACAACUUUAUCAUAAUAAAAUAAUUAAAAAAUAUAUCUACAGCCUACAGGGAUACCAUUACAUUCAAUCAUAAACUAAAACAUGACAUGUCAAACAAUUUAUUUAUUUACGAUUACAAAUAAUUUACUUUUCAAAUUAUAAUAGGUACAAUAAUAAAUUAUUUAAAAUCAUAUUAAUCAAUGUACCGAAAGACAGGAAACAAAUAUCAUAAUUUGUAAUUCUUAUAGAGGAAUGACAAUCGAAAUACGUUAAAGUCGAUACGUUUAUUGAAUUAAAAUAUUUACAUCGAAUUUUAAUCGAUUCCUGAACACGAUUCUGAAGUUUACGAUGAUCACUCGCUUAUUCACAAACUGUUACUCUAGCAACACUAGGUAUACGAUGAACACAUUGUAAAAUUCCAAAAAUCUAAAUUAUUUUUUAACAUUUCCUUUUAGAAUCUCAAGAUUUAUCGUAAUCUAGGGAAACUGGAGUCAAAAACAUUGGUUUGUUACAACCCGCUAUAUGAAGGUGAAGCUAAUUAAAUUAAUUAUACAUAAUUCAUAUGUAUACAAUACAUACACAUUAAAGAUUUAUUUAAAUGAAAUGAGAAGAGAGAAUCCCCCGAUACAUAAUGUACUAAUAUUAUAUUUUGUACAGGAGAUCAAAAUGAGUUGUCCUUACAAUCCGUGUAACGGCAAGGUUUGUUCUACAAUAAGGUUACAAUAUUUAGUACAUCAUAUCAGUCAAUAGUAAUUUAAAAGCUUUGAACAAGUUCCUUCUGAAAAAGUGACCUAAUACUAUGAAGGUAGUUUAUUUGUUAGUUUUUUGCAACGAUUUAGAGCAUACUGCCAGUCAAAUGGACGUUAUAAAUUUUAAACACCUGAUAAACGAUCUCAUUGAGACUACCUCAAAGGCGAACGAUACAUCGCCUUUAUAUUUAUUUCUAGGCAGCAUUUAGCAGGUUUAAUACAUUGCAAUUCAAUAUACAUUAUGUCUAAUACUCAAUAUAACGUUUCAGUAAUGUGUCGAUGAAUUACAUUUCGCAACAGUCGACUAAUGUUAAAAUUGGGGGCGUUUGGCGAAAAAUAGCGCUAGCAAGUAAAAUAGCGUCCUUUUAACGGUAAGUGCUGUCAGUGUCAGAAAAAUUUAUGGGAAACGUCACUUUGCUAGCAAAUUCUAACAAUGCUAAUUAUCGGCUGAACGCAGCCUUUGUCAAUUGACUGGAAGUUUACCCUAGAUGAAAUAGGAUUAGGUCAGUUCUUCAGGUCAAAUGUACUCAUUUUUGAUAUUUACACAUUAACCGCCAACAUGUUUUGUAGACAAACUUACAACCACAAAUUAUACGAAGAGAAAAUGUGUUACUUAAAGUAGACUGGAAUUUUUACUUUUUAUUUAUAAAGUAAAGCGACGAUUUUUUUGUAUUAGGUACUUAUUGUAGCCUAGUAAGUUAAAAUUCGGUUUAUAAAGAUAAUCUUAACAUGCUGACGAUUGAAAACGGUAUGUUUGCUUAUUGUCGCCAGUCAGAAAAAUGCUCAAAUGUUUAGCCGCUUA